rnacentral:lncRNA from 1 species
UGUUAACCCCGUUUGAGCUUGUACCCUUUGUUUGUAUGUAUAACCACAUGAAUGUAACCCGCGACCCAAACACUUCCUUACCCUGUCCAAAGAAAAUGUUAUGUUCUUUAAGUUGUGUUAAAUUCUAAGUUUGGGGUAACCCCAUAAGUAUCUGAAAGUAAGGUGAGUGCAGAAAAAGAUUAAGAAUAACGACCAUAAAAAAAAGAAAAAGAAAAAGAAACUCGAUGGAACGAGAAAAGCACUCACCGAAUGAGAACCACUCAGUUGGGUAUAAAAAGAAGAGAAAAAAAAGAGCUAAGUAAUAGAAUUGAAAAAGAAAAGAAUUGGAAAUGAGAUGUAGAACAAACACAGUGAAAAGAAUAACGACAUUGACUCU